AAUGAACGUUGGCGGCGUGGAUUAGGCAUGCAAGUCGAGCGAGAACCCCGCAAGGGGGGACAGCGGCAAACGGGGUAGUAAUGUGUCGGAACGUGCCCUCUGGUCGGGGAUAGCGGCGGGAAACUGCCGGUAAUACCCGAUGAACUCGAGAGAGCAAAGGUGUGAUUCCGCCGGAGGAGCGGCCGACAUGGUAUUAGCUAGUUGGCGGGGUAACGGCCCACCAAGGCUGUGAUGCCUAGGGGAUGUGAGAGCAUGAUCCCCACCAUUGGGACUGAGACACUGCCCAGACACCUACGGGUGGCUGCAGUCGAGAAUCUUCGUCAAUGGGCGAAAGCCUGAACGAGCGACGCCGCGUGCGGGAUGAAGGCCUUUGGGUUGUAAACCGCUGUCGAGGGGGAUGAAGGCUUGAAAGUCAUCUUUCAAGUUUGACAGAGCCCUGGAGGAAGCACGGGCUAAGUUCGUGCCAGCCGCCGCUGUAAUAC
rnacentral:rRNA from 1 species